rnacentral:misc_RNA from 1 species
CAGCGAUUCAUUUCCUUAACGGCUUCACCUUGUCACAUGCAAACCCACGCCCACUAACUAUACGCGUCCAUCACUGCAAUCAGUUCAUGGUCGGCCAUGGUGAUUGCUACGAGGACACGCACCCCAUUUGACGGAGUAAGCGAAUCAAUGUCAAACGCUGUAUCUACUUUUCUCCCUCCAUCUCCAUCUAUAUUUUACCCCUCCCAAACCUCCACCUCCACAGAACAGAACACACUACCAAACGCAGAAACUGACUCUUUUUUACAUAGUAUAUAAAUCACUUCAAGCGGCGCGUGUUUUCACUUUCCAAUGGGCCAGUCAGCUUCCACCGCCAAUUCUGCCAUCGAUUGGAUUUUACCUCCGCCUAUUGUUUCUUCCGUAUCGCAAUUGCCAGAGCUCGCUGACGAUAUAACUGCUGAUGUUGAUUAUACGGAGGAUAUUCCUGACGAGUGUUUGGCUUACAUUUUCCAAUUCCUCUCUGCGGGAGACCGAAAACGAUGCUCCUUGGUCUGCCGGCGGUGGUUACUCGUUGACGGCAAUAGCCGCCAACGGCUUUCUCUACACGCGAAAGUGGAGAUUUUUUCUUAUGUUCCUUCUCUGUUCACGCGGUUCGACUCGGUCACUAAACUCGCUUUGCGUUGUGAUCGCAAAUCCAUAAGCUUAAACGAUGAUGCUUUUGUCAUGAUCUCCGUCCGUUGCCAGAAUCUCGAGCGCCUUAAGCUCCGUGGCUGCCGCGAAAUCACUGAUAAUGGUAUGGCCGCAUUUGCUGAAAAUUGCAAAAAAUUGAGAAAGCUCUCUUGCGGCUUGUGCGCUUUCGGCGCCAACGGCAUAAACGCGUUGUUGGAUCACUGCAAGGCGCUGGAGGAGCUCUCUAUUAAGAGGCUCAGGGGAAUCUAUGACGGAGCCAAUAUGAUCAGGUCUGGAGCUGCCGCUCCGUCUUUGAAAUCAAUUUGCUUGAAGGAGCUAGUCAACGGUCAGUC